GAAUCCCCAGUGCAGAGCACCGUCGUCGCCGGUGUAGGAAUCAGUGAAGGAGGAGAGAAAACAGGAGAGACCGCAGAGAAUGAUGAGGAUAAUAGAGAAGGAUUUGUUGAUUGGUUCGCAGUGGCCGCUGUUGGUGAGGAUUGGGCUGAGGAAUUGGAAGAGGAAGACGGUGCCGGUGGGGAGGAGGCGGAUUAGGUUUCCGACGCCGGUUAGGGUUUUCUCUGUGGGGGAGGAAGCCAUGAAUUGAGGGGAUUUGAUUGAUUUUGUUUUGGUUGUUCUUGAUUUUGGUUU
rnacentral:misc_RNA from 1 species